rnacentral:lncRNA from 1 species
ACCUAUAUGUAGCUAAACUACAAGUAACCAUGCACACCAGCCAAGAUAAUCCAAAGUGAGGGUGCUAAAGAACAUAAAGAGGCGAGGUAAAGAUUGAGGUUAAUUUGCAGGUUCGGAUCCCAUCCCGCUUGAUCGAAGGGAAAGCUGCAACCUAUAAAGAGCCACGGGACCGACAUGCAUGCAACGCAUGCAGAUCGAGCCGAGCCCUCAACAUCCCUACGCGCGUGCAUGGGAAAGCGUGCACUCGGUAGUAGGAGUACGUAGUAGUAUCAUACGGGCUCCCGUCCGAUCUCUCGUAUCCUGCCGGCCGGGCAUCAAGAGCUCUUUUUCUCUUUCCCUUUAGUUUUUGAUGUGGUUCUGCUUUCGCAAAGCUAUCUCCAUG